ACGGCGAGUGAAGCGGCAAAGCUCAAAUUUGAAAUCUGGUACCUUCGGUGCCCGAGUUGUAAUUUGGAGAGGGCAACUUUGGGGCCGUUCCUUGUCUAUGUUCCUUGGAACAGGACGUCAUAGAGGGUGAGAAUCCCGUGUGGCGAGGAGUGCGGUUCUUUGUAAAGUGCCUUCGAAGAGUCGAGUUGUUUGGGAAUGCAGCUCUAAGUGGGUGGUAAAUUCCAUCUAAAGCUAAAUAUUGGCGAGAGACCGAUAGCGAACAAGUACAGUGAUGGAAAGAUGAAAAGAACUUUGAAAAGAGAGUGAAAAAGUACGUGAAAUUGUUGAAAGGGAAGGGCAUUUGAUCAGACAUGGUGUUUUGUGCCCUCUGCUCCUUGUGGGUAGGGGAAUCUCGCAUUUCACUGGGCCAGCAUCAGUUUUGGUGGCAGGAUAAAUCCAUAGGAAUGUAGCUUGCCUCGGUAAGUAUUAUAGCCUGUGGGAAUACUGCCAGCUGGGACUGAGGACUGCGACGUAAGUCAAGGAUGCUGGCAUAAGUGGUUAUAUGCCGCCCGUCUUG
rnacentral:rRNA from 1 species